GAAAGGCGCUUUUGCGUCACUGAUGGAUGGACCCGCGGUGCAUUAGCUAGUUGGUGAGGUAACGGCUCACCAAGGCCACGAUGCAUAGCCGACCUGAGAGGGUGAUCGGCCACACUGGGACUGAGACACGGCCCAGACUCCUACGGGAGGCAGCAGUAGGGAAUCUUCGGCAAUGGACGAAAGUCUGACCGAGCAACGCCGCGUGAGUGAAGAAGGUUUUCGGAUCGUAAAACUCUGUUGUUAGAGAAGAACAAGGAUGAGAGUAGAACGUUCAUCCCUUGACGGUAUCUAACCAGAAAGCCACGGCUAACUACGUGCCAGCAGCCGCGGUAAUACGUAGGUGGCAAGCGUUGUCCGGAUUUAUUGGGCGUAAAGCGAGCGCAGGCGGUUUCUUAAGUCUGAUGUGAAAGCCCCCGGCUCAACCGGGGAGGGUCAUUGGAAACUGGGAGACUUGAGUGCAGAAGAGGAGAGUGGAAUUCCAUGUGUAGCGGUGAAAUGCGUAGAUAUAUGGAGGAACACCAGUGGCGAAGGCGGCUCUCUGGUCUGUAACUGACGCUGAGGCUCGAAAGCGUGGGGAGCGAAUAGGAUUAGAUACCCUGGUAGUCCACGCCGUAAACGAUGAGUGCUAAGUGUUGGAGGGUUUCCGCCCUUCA
rnacentral:rRNA from 1 species